UCGAACGAUGAAGCUGGAGCUUGCUCCAGUGGAUUAGUGGCGAACGGGUGAGUAACACGUGAGCAAUCUGCCCUUGACUCUGGGAUAACUGCGGGAAACUGUAGCUAAUACCGGAUACGACACCUUGGGGCAUCCCGAGGUGUGGAAAGAAUUUCGGUCAAGGAUGAGCUCGCGGCCUAUCAGCUUGUUGGUGAGGUAAAAGCUCACCAAGGCGACGACGGGUAGCCGGCCUGAGAGGGUGACCGGCCACACUGGAACUGAGAUACGGUCCAGACUCCUACGGGAGGCAGCAGUGGGGAAUAUUGCACAAUGGGCGCAAGCCUGAUGCAGCAACGCCGCGUGAGGGAUGAAGGCCUUCGGGUUGUAAACCUCUUUUAUCAGGGAAGAAGCGAAAGUGACGGUACCUGAAGAAAAAGCACCGGCUAACUACGUGCCAGCAGCCGCGGUAAUACGUAGGGUGCAAGCGUUGUCCGGAAUUAUUGGGCGUAAAGAGCUCGUAGGCGGUUUGUCGCGUCUGCUGUGAAAAUCCAAGGCUCAACCUUGGACCUGCAGUGGGUACGGGCAGACUAGAGUGCGGUAGGGGAGAUGGGAAUUCCUGGUGUAGCGGUGGAAUGCGCAGAUAUCAGGAGGAACACCAAUGGCGAAGGCACAUCUCUGGGCCGUAACUGACGCUGAGGAGCGAAAGCGUGGGGAGCGAACAGGAUUAGAUACCCUGGUAGUCCACGCCGUAAACGGUGGGUGCUAGUUGUGGGCCACAUUCCACGUGGUCCGUGACGAAGUUAACACAUUAAGCACCCCGCCUGGGGAGUACGGUCGCAAGACUAAAACUCAAAGGAAUUGACGGGGGCCCGCACAAGCGGCGGAGCAUGCGGAUUAAUUCGAUGCAACGCGAAGAACCUUACCAAGGCUUGACAUAUAGAGGAAACGUGCAGAAAUGUACGCCCCGCA
rnacentral:rRNA from 1 species